rnacentral:rRNA from 1 species
AAAUUGAAGAGUUUGAUCAUGGCUCAGAUUGAACGCUGGCGGCAGGCCUAACACAUGCAAGUCGAACGGUAACAGGAAGCAGCUUGCUGCUUCGCUGACGAGUGGCGGACGGGUGAGUAAUGUCUGGGAAACUGCCUGAUGGAGGGGGAUAACUACUGGAAACGGUGGCUAAUACCGCAUAACGUCGCAAGACCAAAGAGGGGGACCUUCGGGCCUCUUGCCAUCAGAUGUGCCCAGAUGGGAUUAGCUUGUUGGUGGGGUAACGGCCCACCAAGGCGACGAUCCCUAGCUGGUCUGAGAGGAUGACCAGCCACACUGGAACUGAGACACGGUCCAGACUCCUACGGGAGGCAGCAGUGGGGAAUAUUGCACAAUGGGCGCAAGCCUGAUGCAGCCAUGCCGCGUGUAUGAAGAAGGCCUUCGGGUUGUAAAG